rnacentral:lncRNA from 1 species
AUCCUAUUCCGUUGUGACAUAACUAAUCUAAAAGUGAUUAAUCUAUUCGUCCAGCACAGUAUUAUUCCAAGAAUAAUAUUUUCGGAAUGUCUCUGCAGUUCGCGACCAUUCGCGACCGCCAUUGUGCUCAAGUCGUCAGAACCAAGGCCUUCUGUCAGAGAACCGAGCAAGCGUCCCAGUCCUCGAAGGUGUAGACUGACUUGGGAAUGAUCAUGGGGCUCGAGGAGGACGUGAAGGAGCAUGUCCUGCACAAAAUCAGACAUACCGCGAAGAAGUACUCGUAUGCCCAGACGAUGAUAAACGUGGAGUCGGCCGACAAAGACGACGACGAGCUGCUAGCUCUACUUGCCUAUGGUUGUGGAACAACCAUUGGCACCUUGGCGGAUCCGAGAAACGGGGUUCGUCAGGCAGGUGAGGAACUAUCGGUGGACGGUGUGGUGGUCUGCCAACUGCCGGCCACCAGGUUGGAGACCGCGUGGCCCUAAUGACGGCCGCCCACGC